GGGGGCAUAGCUCAACAGUAGAGUGUGUGCUUAGCAUGCAUGGGGUCCUGGGUUCAAUCCCCAGCACCUCCA
rnacentral:tRNA from 1 species